AUUAGACGAAUCAUCUGGAAAGAUGAAUCAAAGAAGGUAAUAAUCCUGUAGUCGAAAAUGUUGUCUCUCUUGAGUGGAUCCUGAGUACGACGGAGCACGUGAAAUUCCGUCGGAAUCUGGGAGGACCAUCUCCUAAGGCUAAAUACUCUCUAGUGACCGAUAGUGAACCAGUACCGUGAGGGAAAGGUGAAAAGCACCCCGGAAGGGGAGUGAAAUAGAACCUGAAACCGUGUGCUUACAAGUAGUCAGAGCCCGUUAAUGGGUGAUGGCGUGCCUUUUGUAGAAUGAACCGGCGAGUUACGAUUUGAUGCAAGGUUAAGCAGUAAAUGUGGAGCCGUAGCGAAAGCGAGUCUGAAUAGGGCGUUUAGUAUUUGGUCGUAGACCCGAAACCAGGUGAUCUACCCUUGGUCAGGUUGAAGUUCAGGUAACACUGAAUGGAGGACCGAACCGACUUACGUUGAAAAGUGAGCGGAUGAACUGAGGGUAGCGGAGAAAUUCCAAUCGAACCUGGAGAUAGCUGGUUCUCUCCGAAAUAGCUUUAGGGCUAGCCUCAAGUGAUGAUUAUUGGAGGUAGAGCACUGUUUGGACGAGGGGCCCCUCUCGGGUUACCGAAUUCAGACAAACUCCGAAUGCCAAUUAAUUUAACUUGGGAGUCAGAACAUGGGUGAUAAGGUCCGUGUUCGAAAGGGAAACAGCCCAGACCACCAGCUAAGGUCCCAAAAUAUAUGUUAAGUGGAAAAGGAUGUGGCGUUGCCCAGACAACUAGGAUGUUGGCUUAGAAGCAGCCAUCAUUUAAAGAGUGCGUAAUAGCUCACUAGUCGAGUGACACUGCGCCGAAAAUGUACCGGGGCUAAACAUAUUACCGAAGCUGUGGAUUGUCCUUUGGACAAUGGUAGGAGAGCGUUCUAAGGGCGUUGAAGCAUGAUCGUAAGGACAUGUGGAGCGCUUAGAAGUGAGAAUGCCGGUGUGAGUAGCGAAAGACGGGUGAGAAUCCCGUCCACCGAUUGACUAAGGUUUCCAGAGGAAGGCUCGUCCGCUCUGGGUUAGUCGGGUCCUAAGCUGAGGCCGACAGGCGUAGGCGAUGGAUAACAGGUUGAUAUUCCUGUACCACCUAUAAUCGUUUUAAUCGAUGGGGGGACGCAGUAGGAUAGGCGAAACGUGCGAUUGGAUUGCACGUCUAAGCAGUAAGGCUGAGUAUUAGGCAAAUCCGGUACUCGUUAAGGCUGAGCUGUGAUGGGGAGAAGACAUUGUGUCUUCGAGUCGUUGAUUUCACACUGCCGAGAAAAGCCUCUAGAUAGAAAAUAGGUGCCCGUACCGCAAACCGACACAGGUAGUCAAGAUGAGAAUUCUAAGGUGAGCGAGCGAACUCUCGUUAAGGAACUCGGCAAAAUGACCCCGUAACUUCGGGAGAAGGGGUGCUCUUUAGGGUUAACG
rnacentral:rRNA from 1 species